rnacentral:rRNA from 1 species
GAUGAACGCUGGCGGCGUGCCUAAUACAUGCAAGUCGAGCGAACGGACGAGAAGCUUGCUUCUCUGAUGUUAGCGGCGGACGGGUGAGUAACACGUGGAUAACCUACCUAUAAGACUGGGAUAACUUCGGGAAACCGGAGCUAAUACCGGAUAAUAUUUUGAACCGCAUGGUUCAAAAGUGAAAGACGGUCUUGCUGUCACUUAUAGAUGGAUCCGCGCUGCAUUAGCUAGUUGGUAAGGUAACGGCUUACCAAGGCAACGAUGCAUAGCCGACCUGAGAGGGUGAUCGGCCACACUGGAACUGAGUCACGGUCCAGACUCCUACGGGAGGCAGCAGUAGGGAAUCUUCCACAAUGGGCGAAAGCCUGACGGAGCAACGCCGCGUGAGUGAUGAAGGUCUUCGGAUCGUAAAACUCUGUUAUUAGGGAAGAACAUAUGUGUAAGUAACUGUGCACAUCUUGACGGUACCUAAUCAGAAAGCCACGGCUAACUACGUG